AGUGAGCGCUGGCGGUAGGCCUAACACAUGCAAGUCGAACGGCAGCACAGUAAGAGCUUGCUCUUACGGGUGGCGAGUGGCGGACGGGUGAGGAAUACAUCGGAAUCUACUUUUUCGUGGGGGAUAACGUAGGGAAACUUACGCUAAUACCGCAUACGACCUACGGGUGAAAGCAGGGGAUCUUCGGACCUUGCGCGAUUGAAUGGGCCGAUGUCGGAUUAGCUAGUUGGCGGGGUAAAGGCCCACCAAGGCGACGAUCCGUAGCUGGUCUGAGAGGAUGAUCAGCCACGCUGGAACUGAGACACGGUCCAGACUCCUACGGGAGGCAGCAGUGGGGAAUAUUGGACAAUGGGCGCAAGCCUGAUCCAGCCAUACCGCGUGGGUGAAGAAGGCCUUCGGGUUGUAAAGCCCUUUUGUUGGGAAAGAAAAGCAGCAGGUUAAUACCCCGCUGUUCUGACGGUACCCAAAGAAUAAGCACCGGCUAACUUCGUG
rnacentral:rRNA from 1 species